UGCCCGGAUAGCUCAGUCGGUAGAGCAGGGGAUUGAAAAUCCCCGUGUCCUUGGUUCGAUUCCGAGUCCGGGCACC
rnacentral:tRNA from 5 species